GUCAAAUAUUGUUUAAGUUAUGUCAGUUUACCGAGUCUGUAUUUUGAGUUCCGCCAAUAAACCCUGGUCCAAGCUGCACUUGGUCGCCUUGCUCCGUCCGUGACAGAAUGACC